rnacentral:rRNA from 1 species
AACGAACGCUGGCGGCAGGCUUAACACAUGCAAGUCGAACGCCCCGCAAGGGGAGUGGCAGACGGGUGAGUAACACGUGGGAACAUGCCCAAAGGUACGGAAUAUUCUCGGGAAACUGAGAGCAAUACCGUAUGUGCCCGAAAGGGGAAAGAUUUAUCGCCUUUGGAUUGGCCCGCGUCGGAUUAGCUAGUUGGUGGGGUAAAAGCCUACCAAGGCGACGAUCCGUAGCUGGUCUGAGAGGACGACCAGCCACACUGGGACUGAGACACGGCCCAGACUCCUACGGGAGGCAGCAGUGGGGAAUCUUGGACAAUGGGCGCAAGCCUGAUCCAGCCAUGCCGCGUGGAUGAUGAAGGCCCUAGGGUUGUAAAAUCCUUUCGUUGGGGACGAUAAUGACGGUACCCAAAGAAGAAGCUCCGGCUAACUUCGUG